rnacentral:rRNA from 1 species
GACGAACGCUGGCGGCGUGCUUAACACAUGCAAGUCGAACGGAAAGGCCCUGCUUGCCGGGUACUCGAGUGGCGAACGGGUGAGUGACACGUGGGUGAUCUGCCCUGCACUUCGGGAUAAGCCUGGGAAACUGGGUCUAAUACCGGAUAGGAGCCAUUUUUAGUGUGAUGGUUGGAAAGUUUUUUCGGUGUAGGAUGAGCUCGCGGCCUAUCAGCUUGUUGGUGGGGUAAUGGCCUACCAAGGCGGCGACGGGUAGCCGGCCUGAGAGGGUGGACGGCCACAUUGGGACUGAGAUACGGCCCAGACUCCUACGGGAGGCAGCAGUGGGGAAUAUUGCACAAUGGGCGCAAGCCUGAUGCAGCGACGCCGCGUGGGGGAUGACGGCCUUCGGGUUGUAAACUCCUUUCGCUAGGGACGAAGCUUUUUGUGACGGUACCUAGAUAAGAAGCACCGGCUAACUACGUG